UUCGCCAGUGGCUUCAAGAGAGCCUUCAAGAUCAAUGAUUUUGCCAACACGAUCCCGGGUCACGGUGGCAUUAUGGACCAGUUCGACUGCCAGUACCUCAUUGCUACAUUUGUUAACGUCUACAUUGCCAGCUUCAUCAGGGGCCCGAACCCCAGCAAGGUGAUCCAGCAGCUCCUGGCGC